rnacentral:ribozyme from 1 species
GCCUACAUGGUCGUGUGCCAUUUCCCUUUUCAUGUUUUUCUUCUUCUUUUUUUUUUAACCCACUCCCAUUUUUGUCACUUUGCUUUUCUACAGGUGGAUUUAUGCAAA